GGAGAAAAGAGCCUAUGAUCCUCAUAGUAGAUGUAACGUCCUCUACAGAAGAGGACGUUAAUGCUAACAAAAGGUGCACAGAGGAAAGGCUAUGUGAGAAAACAGCAAAGAGGUGGUGUCUGCAAGCCUUUAGAGACCUCACUGAAAACCAACCCUGGCACCUCGAUCUUGGACUUGUAGCCUCCCUAUUGGCUUUAACCACUGUCAAGUUUUGUCACCCUGGACCCUGCCUGUCAUACUCAAGUCUCUAAAAAAAAGCCAUAAGGAAAUCUCCAGCCAGAGGUACCACCUUUAUUACAAGGUAGCAUGUUGUUCUGAAUCUCUAUCUCCUCUUUGCAAACAGAUGAUCAAGCUAGCCCGGGAUGUGACUCUUCUCAAGUAAUCAUCCAAAAACCUAGGUUGGUGGCCGCUCUCCCAUCCAUUAAUAGAAAUUCUAAGAGAACAGCCUUCCUUUAAAAUCAAGAGCUAAGGAAGGAGGAUCAUGUAAUGAUGCAGAAACAUUUUGAGGAAGAGAAGAAAGACAUUGAAAUGGUCACAUUGGACCUUCUCAAUCUUUUAUACUUCAUAGGAGGACUCAGGAGACAGAAGACAGGAAAAGCUCUUUCCCAACACAGAGCCUUUGAGUUGUUUCCCUCUGCCUUCAGCUCUGUCCCUACAACAAGGAACAAAAUGGACAACAAGGAGCAAAGAUGGCCACAGAAAUAUCUCUCAACACAUGUGUUCUUUUUACAAAGAAACCUCAAAAUUCCUCCAUUAAGAGGUGGAAUCUAUGGGUGCUCUGCCUCUCAGGAGCACGCCAGCGCCUUUCCCUGCCCCCUUUUCUUCCCCCCUUCCUUUACCUUCCUCUCUCCUACGCUCCAAGGGCCCUUCUGCCUCCAUAACUUGUUGUAGCUGGCUCACUUCUACUACCUCUGUAACUUUUGAAAUAACUUUCUCUUAUAACUUGAAAAAAGAAAAAAAGGAAAAGAGGUGGAAUCUAUGUUCCCACCCUUUGAACCUAGGUGGGCCUCUAUAAGAGAAUCCAGAAGUAUAAUCCCAUACUUUGGGAUCAUAGCCAUUUACAUGCUAAUCUACUCCAAAGUGAGGUAGGAGAGUGAGGGAGGAUCUAAUGUUGGA